GUAACGCGUAUACAAUCUACCUUUACAGAGGGAUAGCCAGAGAAAUUUGGAUUAAUACCUCAUAGUAUUUUCGAAUCGCAUGGUUUGAUUAUUAAAGUUCCAACGGUAAAAGAUGAGUAUGCGUCCCAUUAGCUAGAUGGUAAGUAACGGCUUACCAUGGCAAUGAUGGGUAGGGGUCCUGAGAGGGAGAUCCCCCACACUGGUACUGAGACACGGACCAGACUCCUACGGGAGGCAGCAGUGAGGAAUAUUGGACAAUGGGCGCAAGCCUGAUCCAGCCAUGCCGCGUGCAGGAAGACGGUCCUAUGGAUUGUAAACUGCUUUUAUACAGGAAGAAACACUCCCUCGUGAGGGAACUUGACGGUACUGUAUGAAUAAGCAUCGGCUAACUCCGUG
rnacentral:rRNA from 1 species